UGAGUCCUCAAAAAUUCUUCAGA
rnacentral:tRNA from 1 species